GGGGGCUAAGCCCCGGCUGGGAGAGCGCCUGCUUUGCACGCAGGAGGUCAGCGGUUCGAUCCCGCUAGUCUCCACCA
rnacentral:tRNA from 1 species